ACGCUCGACACCUACGGGGGGCAGCAGUGGGGAAUAUUGCACAAUGGGGGAAACCCUGAUGCAGCGACGCCGCGUGGAGGAAGAAGGUCUUCGGAUUGUAAACUCCUGUUGUUGGGGAAAAAGAGGAUGGUACCCAACAAGGAAGUGACGGCUAACUACGUGCAAGCAGCCGCGGUAAUCUGAGGCGGGCUGGACGAAGGC
rnacentral:rRNA from 1 species